rnacentral:rRNA from 1 species
GACGAACGCUGGCGGCGUGCUUAACACAUGCAAGUCGAACGGAAAGGCCCUGCUUUUGUGGGGUGCUCGAGUGGCGAACGGGUGAGUAACACGUGAGUAACCUGCCCUUGACUUUGGGAUAACUUCAGGAAACUGGGGCUAAUACCGGAUAGGAGCUCCUGCUGCAUGGUGGGGGUUGGAAAGUUUCGGCGGUUGGGGAUGGACUCGCGGCUUAUCAGCUUGUUGGUGGGGUAGUGGCUUACCAAGGCUUUGACGGGUAGCCGGCCUGAGAGGGUGACCGGCCACAUUGGGACUGAGAUACGGCCCAGACUCCUACGGGGGGCAGCAGUGGGGAAUAUUGCACAAUGGGCGGAAGCCUGAUGCAACAACGCCGCGUGCGGGAUGACGGCCUUCGGGUUGUAAACCGCUUUCGCCUGUGACGAAGCGUGAGUGACGGUAAUGGGUAAAGAAGCACCGGCUAACUACGUG